rnacentral:rRNA from 1 species
UCCUACGGGACGCAGCAGCUAAGAAUAUUCCGCAAUGGGAGCAAUCCUGACGGAGCGACGCCGCGUGGAAGAUGAAGGCCGAAAGGUUGUAAAUUCCUUUUAUACGGGAAGAAUAAGGAUAGGAUGGGAAUGCCUAUUCGAUGACGGUACCGUAUGAAUAAGCCCCGGCUAACUACGUGCCAGCAGCCGCGGUAAUACGUAGGGGGCAAGCGUUGUUCGGAUUUACUGGGCGUAAAGGGCAUCUAGGCGGUUAUGUAAGUGUGGAUUUAAAGGCUGAGGCUUAACCUCAUGCAUGGUCUGCAAACUACAUAACUAGAGUGCAGAAGGGGAAACUGGAAUUCCGCAAGUAGGGGUGAAAUCUGUAGAUAUGCGGAAGAAUACCGGUGGCGAAGGCGAGUUUCUGGUCUGCAACUGACGCUGAAAUGCGAAAGUGCGGGGAGCAAACAGGAUUAGAUACCCCGGUAGU